rnacentral:rRNA from 1 species
AAAUGAAUUGACGGGGGCCCGCACAAGCGGCGGAGCAUGUGGAUUAAUUCGAUGCAACGCGAAGAACCUUACCUGGGUUUGACAUACACCAGACGUAUGUAGAGAUACAUAUUCCCUUGUGGUUGGUGUACAGGUGGUGCAUGGCUGUCGUCAGCUCGUGUCGUGAGAUGUUGGGUUAAGUCCCGCAACGAGCGCAACCCUUGUCCUGUAUUGCCAGCACGUAAUGGUGGGGACUUGCAGGAGACUGCCGGGGUCAACUCGGAGGAAGGUGGGGAUGACGUCAAGUCAUCAUGCCCCUUAUGUCCAGGGCUUCACACAUGCUACAAUGGCGCGUACAGAGGGCUGCGAUACCGUGAGGUGGAGCGAAUCCCUUAAAGCGUGUCUCAGUUCGGAUUGGGGUCUGCAACUCGACCCCAUGAAGUCGGAGUCGCUAGUAAUCGCAGAUCAGCAACGCUGCGGUGAAUACGUUCCCGGGCCUUGUACACACCGCCCGU